GGGUUGAAGCUUGCUUUCRAUGCCGGCGACCGGCGCACGGGUGCGUAACGCGUAUCAAACCUGCCUCAUACUCGGGGAUAGCCUUGCGAAAGUAAGAUUAAUACCCGAUGUUGUUGCUUUCUCGCAUGGGAGAGUAACCAAAGAUUUAUCGGUAUGAGAUGGUGAUGCGUCCGAUUAGGUAGUAGGCGGGGUAACGGCCCACCUAGCCUUCGAUCGGUAGGGGUUCUGAGAGGAAGGUCCCCCACACUGGAACUGAGACACGGUCCAGACUCCUACGGGAGGCAGCAGUGAGGAAUAUUGGUCAAUGGGCGAGAGCCUGAACCAGCCAAGUAGCGUGCAGGAUGACGGCCCUCCGGGUUGUAAACUGCUUUUAGUUGGGAAUAAAAAAAGGGACUUGUCCCUUCUUGUAUGUACCUUCAGAAAAAGGACCGGCUAAUUCCGUGCCAGCAGCCGCGGUAAUACGGAAGGUCCAGGCGUUAUCCGGAUUUAUUGGGUUUAAAGGGAGCGUAGGCGGAUUGUUAAGUCAGCGGUUAAAGGGUGUGGCUCAACCAUGCAUUGCCGUUGAAACUGGCGAUCUUGAGUGCAGACAGGGAUGCCGGAAUUCGUGGUGUAGCGGUGAAAUGCUUAGAUAUCACG
rnacentral:rRNA from 1 species